rnacentral:rRNA from 1 species
GACGAACGCUGGCGGCGUGCUUAACACAUGCAAGUCGAACGGAAAGGCCCUGCUUUUGUGGGGUGCUCGAGUGGCGAACGGGUGAGUAACACGUGAGUAACCUGCCCUUGACUUUGGGAUAACUUCAGGAAACUGGGGCUAAUACCGGAUAGGAGCUCCUGCUGCAUGGUGGGGGUUGGAAAGUUUCGGCGGUUGGGGAUGGACUCGCGGCUUAUCAGCUUGUUGGUGGGGUAGUGGCUUACCAAGGCUUUGACGGGAAGCCGGCCUGAGAGGGUGACCGGCCACAUUGGGACUGAGAUACGGCCCAGACUCCUACGGGAGGCAGCAGUGGGGAAUAUUGCACAAUGGGCGGAAGCCUGAUGCAGCAACGCCGCGUGCGGGAUGACGGCCUUCGGGUUGUAAACCGCUUUCGCCUGUGACGAAGCGUGAGUGACGGUAAUGGGUAAAGAAGCACCGGCUAACUACGU